UCUAGUAAAAAGUACUUCAGAGGUUUUUUUUAACCUACAAAACUGAGUUCAUUACCUAAAAUGUUUGACGUAAUUCAUUUUAACUCAAAUUAUAGUUUAUUAGAUAUAGAUAAGAUAUUUAUCUUAAGUCGGCUAAUGAACAAACACUAGUUAACUAAUCUGCUUCAACUGUUAUCUCGUUAGUUACAUCUGAUACCUAAUGUUAGCAAAACAGUAGCUUAAUAACUCGACUGUCAUUGGAGCACAGCGCAAAAGGGGCGGGGCUUAUGACGGGUCAGUUAUUUGUAUUUGUUUAUCUGUUUUAAAAACAUUAUUUUAGUUCCUUUAAUUUUAUUUUAUUUCUGUCACAUCCAGUUUCAAAUGUGCAAAUUAUUUUUUACAAUUUCGUCUCCGGACAUUUUGGAAUUUGGACGCAACGAAGAAACAGCAGAAAUAAAAAAGCACAAAAUACUUUAGUUUCUCAGUUUGGGAAAAAAAAUGACACACGAAGAACAAAAGUUGUUUUUAAACUUGCAGUCCGCUUCAUUUUCUGGGCAUAAAAUUCAAAUAUGAGCAAAAAACUCCAUAUUUAAAAAAAUGUGACUGGAAGAUAAACUCAUUAAAUUUCAUCCAAAAAGAAUUAAAGGAAUAUUUCACCCAAACAUGAUAAUCUGGUUUUGAUACAUUGACUGGAUUCAUGGAUGGAUUACUGAACGGGGUCUACCGGGCACAGGUCCAGGGUCCUAACGGGGGCUCGUUAUCUUAAUAAAUAAUCCAUCCAUGAGCCCUUUAUGAUCCACAUUAAAAAGUUUCCAUUUAAUCUUAUAAUCAGUAAUUAGUUCAACGAUGAUGAUUUAGAUCAAUAAGGUUCAUUCAUAUUCAGAGUUUUUAUAU